AAUGAAAUAUUCGUAUAUAAUUUCUGAACUGCCGUUUUGUUGACAUAAACACUAAUUGAGUAGUGUGACUUUAUUACCGUUGUUUCGCAAACUGCAGUCCGAGUUUUUUGUUCGCUCAGCUAUUCUAGCCAUAUUUGCCCGUUUGUUAACAAGAAAUCACACCUUAUCAUCAGCACUCGCCUCUGCUUCGUCUGAGUCGAAUUGUGUACGUGUUAUCAAUGCUGCUUUCAUUCUGCGUCGAAGAUAAGAUAAAAUUGAGUGCUAAAUAAGGCCAAUUAUUGUACUCGCAAGUACUCUCGUCAGUUGCGUCGAGUGUUCGAGUUGGAAGCGGCACAAAGGUGCUAAUUUAACCGAAUUGAUGGUAUUUUGAUUGAUGCGCCAAUAGUGUCAGAAUCGAAUGGUAUUCGUCUUCUUUCUUUACCGCUUACGCGCUGAUAGUCGAGUUAACAACGGUGUGUCAUUCUUUUUCCUACUUCUUCAUCAGUACUUCCUCGUUCCCAUCGGUGUCUUCUCGUCCAUUGGGAACACAUGACAUAGGCAGAGCAAUCGCUGUCUCUUAAUUCGCUGAACUAUGUCAAUGUCGGCGGCUGCGGUAGCCGAGUGGCUAGCAUUGA